AGCUCUUCUCCGCCAAUCAGAAAGGGCGUCUCCUCCUGCGACUGCAUUCCAAUCUGCUUGAAAGUACCAAUCAGACACGAGGGUUGGCCAUGUGUCAGUUUUGCCGGACAAUGAUCAGGAAGUCGGGCUGGAGUGGCAGGACUGAUGCCCAUGGUGGGGAAGAGCACAACUACAUCCAGAUUAACUGAGAUAGUAAUUACAAAGGGAGAAGAGUUCUUGAAGUCCAUUUAGGAGAGCAUCAGAUUGUUUCUGGCUCAUGAGGAAGAAACUUUCCCUGGAAUGGAGGCCGAGGGGGAACCUGAUGGAGGUGUACAAAAUUAGGAGGAGCAUAUAUAAAGUAGAUGCUAGAAUAUUUGCCCAUUGGAGAAGUAUCUCAAGCAAGAGGGCAUGGGCUUAAGAGGUUUAGAGGGGAUCUGAGGAAAAAAUAUUUCAUCCAGAGGGUGCUUCGUAUCUCGAAUACCCUGUCCUAGAGAAGGUGGUGAAGGCAGAGACUCUCACAACAUUUAAGAAGAAAUAAACACUUGUAAACAUAAGAUACUCGGCAGAUGCUGGAACUCUUGAGCACCGAUUUGAUUCACCAACACAGGGAAAGUACUGGUGAACAUGCCAUGCACCAUCAAUCUUUAGGACAUGUCACUCAAGACUUCUACUAAUAUUAUUUUUUGUGACAGUAUAUGCUAUCGUAACUAUAUGUGCUGUUUGUAACUGUAUUUACUGUGUUUUGCACCUUAGCCCCUGAGGAAUGAUGUUUUGGUCCAAAACUGGGAGAUAUGUAUUCAAUCCUUUAUUAGCAAUCAGCAAACAUACAAUCUUGAAGCGAUGAAAGCAUACUCAAGUGUAAGUUAAGUGUAAUUGAGUGGUCAGGAAAAUAUACAACUGCUGUCGGACCCCAGCCCCAAACUGUUACGAAUAAUACGAAUAAAGUACAAAUACUAAACUUAUUCCUUUCACUUUUACCACACCCCCCACUCACAUGACUAGUUACCAUAGUAAACAUUAUAAACACGCAACACAGAAUACAAUGCAGAUAGAGAACGAGUACAUGGCUCCUACAUUCCAGCUGCCGAAUUAUUACACUAUAAUAACUACAACUACAUGCUACCAAGACACAGGAGACACAAAAUCUCAAUAUUUACACAAAAUGUCCUAUUUCUGGUAAGCAGACCAUCCUGGAUUGUGAUCUUCUCCUGACAAACCAGAUUGUUCCUCCUGACUAUGUUCAGGGAAAUCUGACUUGAAGUGCUGCUGCCAAAGCUCAUCCAAGUACAAAUCUGAAGUUCCAUUAACUGUCAGUUCUCUUCACCACCUUUCAGUAGCCCAUUUACAGUAUUUUUCUGAUUGCAUAGAGCCCAUCAUUAAUACUACAAGUCACUUGAAGCUGCUCUAAUGUCUUUGGUACAUUCACUUCUAUAAACAGUUGAAUUUUCAGCCAACAUAUGUGCUUCAGGUAAGGCCAUUCCUGAAGAUCUCUCUGACAAGGAAUGUUCCCUUCGUGGACAAACAUACAUUCCUGUUUGACAGUUCACUUUAGUUCUCACUAUCUAAGUCAACUACUUCCAAUCCUUAAACAGCAUAGCUACUCACAACAUUCUCUUGACCUAUGGAACGUAAGAGAAUGCAUGUUCUUUUUCCAGUCUAGUUAAGUUUGUUCAUGAGACUCUCUGUGCAAGACACAGCUGUACUUCCUUGAUCUGGGAAAGCAUAAGUAACCACUGUCUUAUUACCCUUCUUAGACUUCGCCUGAACUGGAAUUAUAGGAAGUUUACAACCAAGAUCACCAGCUCUGUAAGGCUACUCAUACUGUGCUUCAUUCGUUCAUGGCUUGUUUUGAAUAUACAGUACACACUUUUCUUCAGAGUGAGUAUGAAGUAUGAAGAGAUGUUUGCCACUGCAUACCUUGCAUGAAAGACUCCUCUUGCAAUCCUUGUUGAAGUGUCCUGUACACAGGCAACCAAAGGAGAUACCAUUUUCUUUUAGGAAGACAAUUAUGAACCUUUUUUUCCAGCUGAGAGCACAAAUCCAAAGUUCACCCUGGCAGAACAGGCAAAACUUUUCAUAAAUUCUGGGUUCAGUUUUAGCUUCACCUGUCACCAUAGCCAAAGUAGUAGAAAAGCUGCUUCCUUUAGCUUUGGAAUGAAUUUGUGAUCCAGUUUUGUUCACACUUUUGCUUACUGUCAGUGUAUUUCUUCCCAAACAGCAGGUGUGUAGCAAUCUUUACUUACCUUUCAAUAAAAUCAACAAUGUCAGUGAAAGUAACCUUA